rnacentral:rRNA from 1 species
CCUACGGGAGGCAGCAGUGGGGAAUAUUGCACAAUGGGGGAAACCCUGAUGCAGCGACGCCGCGUGAGUGAAGAAGUAUUUCGGUACGUAAAGCUCUAUCAGCAGGGAAGAAAAUGACGGUACCUGACUAAGAAGCCCCGGCUAACUACGUGCCAGCCGCCGCGGUAAUACGUAGGGGGCAAGCGUUAUCCGGAUUUACUGGGUGUAAAGGGAGCGUAGACGGCAGCGCAAGUCUGGAGUGAAAUCCCAUGGCUUAACCAUGGAACUGCUUUGGAAACUGUGCAGCUAGAGUGCAGGAGAGGUAAGCGGAAUUCCUAGUGUAGCGGUGAAAUGCGUAGAUAUUAGGAGGAACACCAGUGGCGAAGGCGGCUUACUGGACUGUAACUGACGUUGAGGCUCGAAAGCGUGGGGAGCAAACAGGAUUAGAUACCCCGGUAGUC